UGGAAGCUGGUGGAGCAAUCAAUGAGUGUCAAGUAAAGAUACUUUCUAUAAGGAUCAGUCAUUAAGCAUCAAUGUGUGACUCGCCUUACGUGGGGUAUUGCUUUACGAGCUGUUUUAGAUGCUUUGAGGAAGCCUGCAGAUUCAGAAGUUUGUUCCUUCCUAGUUUAUCAGUUAAUGUUAUUAUUGUGAAUUUCAGUCUUACCUUGGAUUUAUGACAUUCCUUUGGGAGUAUGGCAUUGGAGCAGUUUGUGGACCAUCUCAUUGAGUGGCCACAGUAUGCCAUCAUAUCCUGCACUUUGUAGCAUUUAUAGAUAGGGCACUCAACAGUAUUUCGGCGGCUUAUACUGAACGUGAUGUUGGCCAUACUGCCAAUACUGAUCACCGACACGGUCAUAUUCAAUCUUCAGCUCCACAUAUAGAGAUUGUAGGCCCAUCAUUUUCUCUGAUCGGACCUAGCAGUAAUUGUCUGGAUUAGCAAUUCCCUCUUCGAUCCCACUGCAACAGAGACCACCAAGUUCUCACACUCCUAAUUACAUGAAUCCAUCACAACACACCUACCCUUCCUAAGUCACUCAGUGGUGCUUUGCUGUCAAUACAAUCUGCCUCGUCGGAUUUCCAUGGUCUUCUAGAUCAACCUCAGCAAGUAAAUAAUCAGGUUUAACUGUUCUACUCUCUCUCACUGUGCGCUUUAUGGAUUACAUUAACAUGGGGACUGGUUUUACAACUAUGAGAAGAGAAACUCCCAUAGAGGCUGUCAUGAACUUAAAGUUAUCGUGCUCAGACAAUAUUUCCUCAUACAUGGCUGUUAUCUCCUGCCUAAAAUCUAAAGCUUUAUCUAUUGUGAGUGCACUUUCCAAUUAAGAUAAGUUGAUAUAUGUCUUUAAAUCUUACAACUAUUGGUAAAUUUAGCACACCUUAAAAAUUUUAUGUGCUUGUACUGUGCUUGGUGUGGUUUUAUGAACA